rnacentral:rRNA from 1 species
GUAGGUGGCAAGCGUUGUCCGGAAUUAUUGGGCGUAAAGCGCGCGCAGGCGGUCCUUUAAGUCUGAUGUGAAAGCCCGCGGCUCAACCGUGGAGGGUCAUUGGAAACUGGGGGACUUGAGUACAGAAGAGGAAAGCGGAAUUCCAAGUGUAGCGGUGAAAUGCGUAGAGAUUUGGAGGAACACCAGUGGCGAAGGCGGCUUCUGGUCUGUAACUGACGCUGAGGCGCGAAAGCGUGGGGAGCAAACAGGGAUUAGAUACCCUGGUAGUCCACGCCGUAAACGACGAGUGCUAAGUGUUAGGGGGUUUCCCGCCCCCCUUUGUGCUGCAGCUAACGCAUUAAGCACUCCGCCUGGGGAGUACGGCCGCAAGGCUG